rnacentral:siRNA from 1 species
CCGAGGGCACGUCUGCCUGGG